AUGAGUGGGGCUCCUAGUCUAGGCGGCGCCUUCGUGGAGCCAAACCGAAGGAAGAGCAAAAGGGCGAGGCCACACCCGGCUUCGAAUAGGAGGGGGCUUAGCUCUGGAUCCCGCCUGCUUGCAGAAAUGAAUGGAUCAGAAAGGGGGCUGGGUUCUAUUUCCGAGCCGGGCAGGAGGUGA
rnacentral:rRNA from 1 species